rnacentral:lncRNA from 1 species
AAAGUGCAGAGCACAGCACGGUAUGGGCUGCUGCAGGGACAGUUAACUCCAUCCCAGCCAGACCCAGCACACAUGUAAAAAAAGAAGAUAAACUACAAUAUGAAAUAUAGCAGCUUAUACCUGAAGCAUUCGGGAUUUCUGGAUGAUACACAAUUCAAAUUCUGGGUCACUUUUAUUUCAGUCUGGAAGUACAGUCAAAACUUAGCCAAGGAUUGUUAUAUACCACAGAAGAAGUGUGAUACAGAGUGGAAAAGGCAGUAA